rnacentral:rRNA from 1 species
AGUCAUAUGCUUGUCUCAAAGAUUAAGCCAUGCAUGUCUCAGUACAAGCCGAAUUAAGGUGAAACCGCGAAAGGCUCAUUAAAUCAGUUAUGGUUCCUUAGAUCGUACCCACACUUACUUGGAUAACUGUGGUAAUUCUAGAGCUAAUACAUGCAAACAGAGCUCCGACCGGAGACGGGAGGAGUGCUUUUAUUAGAUCAAAACCAAUCGGCGGCGGGCGCGUCCGCGCGUCCGUUCGCCGCUCAACCUGGUGACUCUGAAUAACUUUCCGCUGAUCGCACGGUCUCGCACCGGCGACGCAUCUUUCAAAUGUCUGCCUUAUCAACUGUCGAUGGUAGGUUCUGCGCCUACCAUGGUCGUAACGGGUAACGGGGAAUCAGGGUUCGAUUCCGGAGAGGGAGCCUGAGAAACGGCUACCACAUCCAAGGAAGGCAGCAGGCGCGCAAAUUACCCACUCCCGGCACGGGGAGGUAGUGACGAAAAAUAACGAUACGGGACUCAUCCGAGGCCCCGUAAUCGGAAUGAGUACACUUUAAAUCCUUUAACGAGGAUCAAUUGGAGGGCAAGUCUGGUGCCAGCAGCCGCGGUAACUCCAGCUCCAAUAGCGUAU